UAAUGAUCACAAAAAGCUUAUGAGGUAGAGGCUGUUAUUUUCUGUAUGUUGCCAAUGAGAUACAAAAGGCUAGUAACUUUCCUAACUCAAUUACAGAUUGUAAGUGGUGGAACUCGGAUUUGCAUCCAGGCAGCCAGCCCCACAGGCUGGGUCAUACACCACUCUCCAGCACCAAUCUGCAUUAGCUGUGUGCUAAAAAGGUGUCUGGUGACCAGGAUGAGACUUGCGGGGACACCCACUCACUCUGUAGCCGGCACUUGACUAAGUGUCAGAAGGCAGCAAAGGAGGCUGAGCUCCUGGAAGACUCGCACGCGGGUGGAAAAGAGCCCUCCGUGUGGUCGAAGUCCACCCCCAGCGGCCUGAGGAUGCGGACGCUGCUUGCACCGUCAGCUUCAGCACCAGGUCCGCGCGGACAGCGACGAGCACGGAGGCCCACCCCACCCUCAGCCCCGCAGCCACUUCCUCGACCGCCCUCAGGUGCCAGGUCGAGCCCGGCCUGCCGGGCUGUCACUGGGGAUCCUGCACAGCUGCGGCCGCCCCAGGGCAGGGCGACACCCCUCCGGCCUCAACACACCGCCCGUCUUGUGGCCUUUCUCGGGGCCGUUAGGGGUGUCUGCGGAGAGACGGCCCCAACACACAAAAUGCUCCAAAAGUGGUUGAGGAUGAGUAUAGCCCUUCAUCCGGCUGAGGGCUCAGGUCACCCUUGGAGUCUGUCCUUUUGAUGUCACUUCUUGAGACCUUCUAAAACCCCUUAGUGUAUCCCCUGCUUUAUUUUGAAAUACGUUUGUCUGGAUUUGUAAUUAUAUCGUCUUUUGAUAACGUUGUAAUUAAUGCCGUUCUCCAGCUGUUUUGUUCUUCAUGGGUGUUCCCAGUUCUGAGCACAGCCUGGAUUUGUGUAACCCAAAUGAAUAUAGCAAAUUUAAUAACAGUGUUACCUGCUACCUGUGAAGCUUCUUCCAAGCACACCCCCCAUCACCACCA